GAUGAACGCUGGCGGCGUGCCUAAUACAUGCAAGUCGAGCGAACGGACGGGAAGCUUGCUUCUCUGAUGUUAGCGGCGGACGGGUGAGUAACACGUGGAUAACCUACCUAUAAGACUGGGAUAACUUCGGGAAACCGGAGCUAAUACCGGAUAAUAUUUUGAACCGCAUGGUUCAAAAGUGAAAGACGGUCUUGCUGUCACUUAUAGAUGGAUCCGCGCUGCAUUAGCUAGUUGGUAAGGUAACGGCUUACCAAGGCAACGAUGCAUAGCCGACCUGAGAGGGUGAUCGGCCACACUGGAACUGAGACACGGUCCAGACUCCUACGGGAGGCAGCAGUAGGGAAUCUUCCGCAAUGGGCGAAAGCCUGACGGAGCAACGCCGCGUGAGUGAUGAAGGUCUUCGGAUCGUAAAACUCUGUUAUUAGUGAAGAACAUAUGUGUAAGUAACUGUGCACAUCUUGACGGUACCUAAUCAGAAAGCCACGGCUAACUACGUG
rnacentral:rRNA from 1 species